GUAGGUGGCAAGCGUUGUCCGGAAUUAUUGGGCGUAAAGCGCGCGCAGGCGGUCCUUUAAGUCUGAUGUGAAAGCCCACGGCUCAACCGUGGAGGGUCAUUGGAAACUGGGGGACUUGAGUACAGAAGAGGAAAGCGGAAUUCCAAGUGUAGCGGUGAAAUGCGUAGAGAUUUGGAGGGACACCAGUGGCGAAGGCGGCUUUCUGGUCUGUAACUGACGCUGAGGCGCGAAAGCGUGGGGAGCAAACAGGGAUUAGAUACCCUGGUAGUCCACGCCGUAAACGAUGAGUGCUAAGUGUUAGGGGGUUUCCCGCCCCUUAGUGCUGCAGCUAACGCAUUAAGCACUCCGCCUGGGGAGUACGGCCGCAAGGCUG
rnacentral:rRNA from 1 species